ensembl:lncRNA
CUCAGCUGUAGCGAGUGGCUAUGGAAAGCAGGGACAUGUGGGGCAGUCAAGAGUGCAGUGGAGCACUAAUAACCUUAGUUAAUUACCAGGACUUUUCAGUGCCCACCGUUGAGAUAAAGGGGUCCAUACGAUCCAUGCAACAUAUGACUGCAACCGGCUGGUGGAAGGCUGUAGCAUCCCGUUGGCUUUCACAGACUUUGCACCAGCUUCCUGCUCUGGAUGGUGACUUCAAAGCCGGCGUCAGCACUCACUCCAGCAGCCAGGGCAGCCAUAGCCUGCACACAGGGGAGGGCACUGGGACCAUCCAUCCUGCAGUUGAAGGCCGACGUCUGGGGAUGCAUGACAAACUCUUGUACUGAAUGGAUGUUCCACUGAUGCUAUAGGAGAUCAUCCUCAGCACAGUGCCUGUUACCAUAUCUCCUAGGUUUUGAACACUUCAAGCUGGUCUGGAUACGGUUUGAACGUGCAGAAAACCUCAGGGUUCGUACAACACACUUGGCCAGGACACUGGGCAGUGUCAGCCUCAUCCCAGGACACUGCUGCAAGCUUCCCAGCCUUGUGCAGAAUGUCUGAAGAUUCUUUCAAAUUUGUACAUGCUGACGUAAACAGAGCCCCUUGCUGCGGAAAUAAAACUGCAGGGAAUUUCUGGCAGUGUUUGGAAUGAUACAUAGUUUUGUGGUGACCUCUCCAUAGCAAGCACAAAGUUCUGUAUCUGCUUGGCACCAAGUGAAAUGUUUGGCAUGACUUGAAACGCCCUGAGAACCAAAGUCACCUCUUAAGGUCCUUGUCCCACUGAUCCCUGCAGAAGCAGUGAAAAGGCAUCAUUGCUCUUUUUUCAAUCCAGGAGAAGCUGAAUGAUGGAAAGGUUAAGUGAGUUGCUUAGGGACACAUAGGAAAUCAAUAGCAGAACAGAACCUCCUAGCCGUAUUUCCUAAACACCCAUGCACACCCUUAAAGAAACUUUAAAGGAGGUUUCAUCCUACUGCCAAGCAGAUGCUGGGCUUCCCCAGCCACACAGCUGAGCACCCAUAGCUGUUGGACAGCUCCAGCCCCACAUCGCACCCAUGGCUCUCCCCCUCAAUGCUGCCCUGUGGUUUCAGCUCAUUUCCUGGAGUGCAGAAAAAAAGAAAGCCCUGGGGUUCAGCAGCAGUCUGACAGCAGCUGACCUUUAUAUGAUAAGCAAUGUUCCUCAGCAGUGUGCAUCAGUUUGCAUCAGUUUAUAUUUAUUUUGCUCGUCUCUUGUAAGCAUCCAAUGUGAAGCUGAUUGGAUGGGACAGGCAGGAGGAUCUCAGCAUCUUGAAGUAAUCUGUAAGGAGCCGGCAGCAGAGAGUCAUUAGCAGUUUCUAUGGACAGCUUUGAGGAAUUUGUCUGUGCUAAAGACUGUUCUCAUGUCAGAGGAUUGAGAAAGGCUCGGCGAGCAGGGUUGUGUUUGUCUUGGAAGAUCUUUGGGGAAUCACAGGGCGAGUUGGAAGAGACUGAUAGAAAUCUCCCCAUCCAGGCUUCUACGUGAGCCUCUGAGAAGAUGCUGCUCUUCCAGUGUCCCUCUAUCUCUUCUGAUUAACUCACUGCUAAAAGGUGAUGUCAUGGACUCAUCCUCACUGCGUUUAUCCAAGUAUGCAGCAUGUUUCUCCCUGUAAAAAUGACAAAAUGCCACCGAAAUUGGGGCAUGAUUUAGG